UACGAAGGGGGCUAGCGUUGCUCGGAAUCACUGGGCGUAAAGGGUGCGUAGGCGGGUCUUUAAGUCAGGGGUGAAAUCCUGGAGCUCAACUCCAGAACUGCCUUUGAUACUGAGGAUCUUGAGUUCGGGAGAGGUGAGUGGAACUGCGAGUGUAGAGGUGAAAUUCGUAGAUAUUCGGAAGAACACCAGUGGCGAAGGCGGCUCACUGGACAUGUAUUGACGCUGAGGUGCGAAAGCGUGGGGAGCAAACAGG
rnacentral:rRNA from 1 species